rnacentral:miRNA from 1 species
CCUCCUGGGGCCCGCACUCUCGCU